rnacentral:rRNA from 1 species
GAUGAACGCUGGCGGCGUGCUUAACACAUGCAAGUCGAACGGAAAGGCUCCUGCUUGCAGGGGUACUCGAGUGGCGAACGGGUGAGUAACACGUGGGUGAUCUGCCCUUCACUUCGGGAUAAGCCUGGGAAACUGGGUCUAAUACCGGAUAGGACGUUGUUUUGGAUGCCAUUGUGGAGAGUUUUUUCGGUGUGGGAUGAGCUCGCGGCCUAUCAGCUUGUCGGUGGGGUAAUGGCAUACCAAGGCGUCGCCGGGUAGCCGGCCUGAGAGGGUGUACGGCCACAUUGGGACUGAGAUACGGCCCAGACUCCUACGGGAGGCAGCAGUGGGGAAUAUUGCACAAUGGGCGCAAGCCUGAUGCAGCGACGCCGCGUGGGGGAUGACGGCCUUCGGGUUGUAAACUACUUUCGCUAGGGACGAAGCGCAAGUGACGGUACCUGGAGAAGAAGCACCGGCUAACUACGUG